rnacentral:rRNA from 1 species
CUACGUGCCAGCAGCCGCGGUAAUACGUAGGUCCCGAGCGUUGUCCGGAUUUAUUGGGCGUAAAGCGAGCGCAGGCGGUUAGAUAAGUCUGAAGUUAAAGGCUGUGGCUUAACCAUAGUACGCUUUGGAAACUGUUUAACUUGAGUGCAAGAGGGGAGAGUGGAAUUCCAUGUGUAGCGGUGAAAUGCGUAGAUAUAUGGAGGAACACCGGUGGCGAAAGCGGCUCUCUGGCUUGUAACUGACGCUGAGGCUCGAAAGCGUGGGGAGCAAACAGGAUUAGAUACCCUGGUAGUCCACGCCGUAAACGAUGAGUGCUAGGUGUUAGACCCUUUCCGGGGUUUAGUGCCGCAGCUAACGCAUUAAGCACUCCGCCUGGGGAGUACGACCGCAAGGUUGAAACUCAAAGGAAUUGACGGGGGCCCGCACAAGCGGAGGAACAUGUGGUUUAAUUCGAUGAUACGCGAGGAACCUUACCCGGGAUUGAA